rnacentral:lncRNA from 1 species
UCCUCAAUUAGAGGAAUUAAUUGCGCAAGUCCGACGUCGAAAUCAAUCAAUUCCGGUGACGCACGACGAUGACAGUUGCGGCGGCGUCCGUUUUCAAAUUCCGGACAAUUAGGGGUGUCCUCUAUGUCCGGAAUUUCAUUCCUCCAUACCCAGCCUGCAACGACGGAUUUGGAUGUUGUCGCGUCGUCCCAAGGCAAAUGAUUUCGUCGGUAUGGUGGUUUCCGGGAUAUCCGAUUGGGCCGUCUAUAAAUCAUUCUGCAUUCCCACACUUCGUUUCCACACUUCUCCUUUCUCCGGCCACACUGCAUUCCAUUCUUCUCCGACAUAGCCGACCUCGGCGAUUCCUCCAGCUGUAAGAAUUUCUUCUUCUUUUCUGCAUUUCCUAUCUCCUUUUCCUUCUAUUUCUUGUUCGUUUUGUAUUCACUGUUAGUUAAUACAGCCAAUGUUAAAUUGGGAUUUUUUUUUUAGUUUUUCAAGAAUUGACUGAUUUUUUGAGAUGUUCUGAAACAAUAAAAUCAUCUUUCAUGUUCCUCAUCUUUGGGGAUGUUCUGAAAAUCCAAUUUUUUUUCUUUUGAAGCAUCAUACUUUUGGAACAGGCAAAGAAAAUAAAUUAAUAAUUACGAGUUACACAACUUGUUUUCCCUAAGUAUAAAAUAGAUAUCAUUCAAGUUCAAUUAAAAGUUUUACAUGAAAUGUAUGUUUUUUAAGUUUUUUUUUUGAAUUAAAAACCCUACUCUUACUUGACUGAUUUCUUGGGAUGUUCUGAAAUUGUGGACAAAAUUUCUUUGCAUCUUUCACAGCUACGAAUAUUAAAUCUUCCAGGAAAGUAUUUAGUUAUAGCUUUUUUCUUAGUUGUUGCUUUUAGUUUAUCCCCUUUAGUGGAUCAUCAGUGCUUUUGCAGUUUAUUACUACACUCAUUUUUUAGUUUAUUACCAUUGUUAGUUUAUAAAUCAAUUCUGGAUCUACAUUUUACAGUUUGUUUUGCAUUUUCAGCUCAAUCUAUGAAUAAUUAUUUGAAGUUUAUUUGCUUUAACUCAAUGUUUAUUUGCUUUAACAAAUUUUUUGCCAUGCAAUUUUCUUGCAAUAACAUCAUCUUUCAUGUUCCUAAUCUUUGGGGAUGUUCUGAAUUUUGGGGAAUGAAGAUGGUGCAAAAAGUAGCUCUUGGGCUGCUCUGGACCAGAUCACAGUUCACAGUUUUUAAUUCAUUCAGUUUAGAUGUCAGUUUCAGAAACUGUUUUCAUUAUUUUCAAUGACCUAGGCAUAAAUUAGUAAACUUCUAAUUUCCAGUUUUCAAAUUUUUUUAAACUCUUUCCUAAUAAAUAAAUUUGGUUAUAUUUUCACAAUAUUUGUGUGUUUUAUUUGUAUAUUUGUAUAUUUUCACAAUAUUUGUGUGUUAUAUUUGUAUAUUUUUAAGAACCUCAUGAUAUUUGUAUAUUUCAAUCCGAC